rnacentral:rRNA from 1 species
CGCGUAGGCGGUUUUUUAAGUCAGAUGUGUAAUCCCCGAGCUUAACUUGGGAACUGCAUCUGAGACUGGAAGGCUAGAGUACUGGAGAGGGUGGUGGAAUUCCUCGUGUAGCGGUGAAAUGUGUAGAGAUGAGGAGGAACACCAGUGGCGAAGGCGGCCACCUGGACAGUAACUGACGCUGAGGCGCGAAAGUGUGGGUAGCAAACAGGAUUAGAUACCCUGGUAGUCCACGCUGUAAACGAUGAACACUUGGUGUGGAGGGAGUUGACCCCUUCCGUGCCGGAGCUAACGCGUUAAGUGUUCCGCCUGGGGAGUACGGUCGCAAGGCUGAA